GGCGAUUUCACUAGAUCGACGGAUUUCACCGACGAUUUCACUUCUCAGAUCGACGGAUUUCACCGGCGAUUUCACUAGAUCGACGGAUUUCACCGACGAUUUCACUUCUCAGGGUUUUUUUCUCCGGCGAUUCCGACAUCAGAUCUACUGGGUUCAACUUCUCGGUCUGUUAUAAUACUUGCCUGCUAAAUCGCAUGAUGGCAGCGGCGAGUUCUAGGGUUUCGGCGGCUACAUGCCAUUAGGAGGAUAACAAAGGAGAAAAAUGCUCUUGCUGAAAGACUACGGAAUGCUAAAGCUGAAAGGAAAAGAUUUGAUGAUGAACUGAAAUGUUAUGCAACAGAGAAUGUGAGUCGAGAAGAAGUCAGGCAGUCACUGGAGGAUGAAGUUCGAAGAUUGACUCAUACUAUUGGUCAAACCGAAGGGGAAAAGCGUGAGAUAGAGGAACAAAUUGCUCAUUAGAGUUAAAAGUCUAGGAGCCAUGAACGUCUCUACCAAGGUAUUAUAUAAUUUAAACCAA